UCAGUGGUGGCUGUACGUCAUUGUGGCUGUGGGUUUAGCGGCGCUCUUAAUAAUCGCCGUAGUGCUGAUCAGAUGGAAGAAAACUAAAGGAAACAAAAGAUGGGCGGAUGACAACACGGGACUGAGCUUAAACCCUGCAGUGAGUCAGUCUGCUCCAGAGACCGGUCAGGACACGGCUGAUCCUGAAGAAGGUGUUUCCUACGCCUCCAUCAGCUACACCAAGAAGACCGAUGGUAGAGCCCAGGUUCAGGUUAAAGAUGAUGAUGAUGAUGAUGCGGUGACCUACAGCACUGUGAAGACUCCCUCCUCUUCAGCUGGAGCCGCCGCUGAUCCCAGAGACGUCUACGCCACCGUCGACAAACCGAACAAAUCAGAGGUCACAGUGUAGUUCCCUGUGUUAUCAUUAUGUUACUGAGUUACUGUGUUACUGAUAUGUGCUGAUCAAACAGGAAAAUGGUUUGUCCUGUCCAAAUCCUGGAGAGCAUUUUAUAGUAACUUAUAUUUUGUAUAUAAUCAUGACUCUGUUAUUUAUAGUUAUUGAUUCAACUAAUAUUUGAGGAUGUGUUGUUUCUGGUUGUUGUAGUUACCUCCACCAAGGAGGUUGUUUUCCAGCAGACUCUUUUCUUGUCAAUUUCUCAGGGAGUAAUGUUUGGGUCUUGAUGUAAAAAAGAAAAUCAGGCUUAUUUAUGAUGUUGAGAUCUUUGCACAGCUUGGUGCAGAUCCAGAUAUUAAUGUGGAUCUCAGACGUGUAGCAUUGUUUGGCCUUGAUGCCGUUCUAUUACAAUCUUGUAGAUUUGUACAUUUCAUUUUCAUGAUUCAUUUCAUCGCGUUUUUCCAGGAGUAGUUGUUGUAAGACGCCUUUUUGUCCAGGUGCUGUAGAUUAUCUGUAUCUGGUUUCUGAGAUAAAUGAGUGUAAUAUAUGAAAUAUCUUCCUUCCUGUCAGAGACUUUACUGAGAUCAGUGAUGGACGUUUACCUGAAUCACCAGGGAAGCUCUGAACGAUCUGAUGCUUCUUAAGAUUUAUGGUGAUUUUAUUGCGUCAUUGUUACAUAAUAACUUCUAGCUUCUGAACAGAUUCUUUAAUGAUGCUGAUGAAGCUUUUACUCUUCUUCAUCACUGCACACUGUAAAAAAGAAAUCAUAAAAAAACAGUCAAAU